rnacentral:rRNA from 1 species
AUUGAACGCUGGCGGCAGGCCUAACACCUGCAAGUCGAACGAGAGGCGGACGCGGGUGAAAUGUAUGUGGGAUGCCCGAUAGAGAGGGGUAACUACUGGGAACGGUAUCUAAUACCGCAUACGAUCGGAUAACCCAUAUGGGAUUAGCGAGGAGGGGAGGUAAGGUCUCACCUAGGCGACGAUCCCCAGCUGGUCUGUGAGGAUGAUCAGCCACACUGGUACGGAGACACGGCCCAUACUCCUACGGAGGCAGCAGGUGGGAAUAUUGCACAAUGGGCGCAAGCCUGAUGCAGCCAUGCCGCGUGUAUGAAGAAGGCCCUAGGGGUGUAAAGUACUUUCAGUCGGGAGGCGUUACCGACAGAAGAAGCACCGGCUAACUCCGUGCCAGCAGCCGCGGUAAUUC